rnacentral:rRNA from 1 species
UCAGGAUGAACGACUAGCUACAGGCUUAACACAUGCAAGUCGAGGGGCGAGCAUGAUCUUAGCUGCUAAGAUUGAUGGCGACGCGCACGGGUGAGUAACGCGUAUCCAACCUUCCCCUAGUAGGGCAUAGCCCGUGAAAAUCGGAUUAAUACCCUAUGUUUUCCAAUGAGGACAUCUGAGCUGGAACAAAGAUUGAUCGCUAAGGGAUGGGGAUGCGUCCGAUUAGGUAGUCGGCGGGAUAACGGCCCACCAUGCCGACGAUCAGUAGGGGUUCUGAGAGGAAGGUCCCCCACAUUGGAACUGAGACACGGUCCAAACUCCUACGGGAGGCAGCAGUGAGGAAUAUUGGUCAAUGGACGCAAGUCUGAACCAGCCAAGUAGCGUGAAAAGGACGACGGCCCUACGGGUUGUAAACUUCUUUUGUACGGGAAUAAAGUGAGGCACGCGCUGCCUUUUUGCAUGUACCGUACGAAUAAGCAUCGGCUAAUUCCGUGCCAGCAGCUGC